rnacentral:rRNA from 1 species
AACCCCUAACAGCUAGCCCUCCUCUACCAAAAACAACAAACACCAUUAAUAAACCCCCAUAAACAACAUAAACAAAACAAACCAUUUUUCCUCCCUAGUAUGGGCGACAGAAAAG